rnacentral:lncRNA from 1 species
UGCUUUUAUAGAGGGAAAGAGAGGCUGGGAGAGCUGUAGUCAACAAAGAGUCUGUGGCUUUUCAUUGGCUGAGUCCUUGCCAGAAAAGGAAUCUUUUUUCUUCUGGAUGGACUCUGCUCUUCUGGCAGGGUGUGAGAGCUCCCCCUUCUGAUCUCUUUAUCCUAUUUAAUUGAGGCUUCUGUUUGUUGAUUUUUCGCAUUAUUUUGUCGACCAAGUAUAUUGCUGGCUCUGGGUUGCUGGAGAAGAAGCUGAACUCAGCUAUACCCUACAGGCCUGGGCAAAGAACACAAACCCCAUUGCAGCCUGCAAGGACUCUGUUAAUGGAUCCCAGAUCACAGACAAAGCCAUUGCAGCUUUAGUUAAAAAGCAUGGAAACAGGUAAAAUAAUGAUAAAUAUUUCAUUUACAUGUAGCUUCCAUUUAUGUAUGUUUGUAUUUCUUUAUCUGAU